GUGAAUCAUCAAAUUUUUGAACGCAAAUUGCACUCUCUUCGGAGAGGAGGCGUGUUUGAGGGUCAGUAUUGAUAAAGAUCGGUGUGUUGGUUCUGGGUGACGCUCGGGAGUUUGGGUCAUCUUAAUAACCUUUAGGUUUUAAGAGGUAUAAAAUUGGCUUUUUUUGCGCAUUUUAGAUGUCCAUAAAUUCUUUUUUUUAUUCGUCUGGCGUAAUGCUCAAAAUCCUAUUAGAUGCGACCAUAUCGUGUGGUUUCGGGUCUAUAAAUUUUUCAUGAUUUUAC
rnacentral:misc_RNA from 1 species